rnacentral:rRNA from 1 species
UAAGGAAUAUUGGUCAAUGGACGCAAGUCUGAACCAGCCAUGCCGCGUGGAGGAUGAAGGUCCUCUGGAUUGUAAACUUCUUUUAUCUGGGACGAAACACUUCUUUUCUAAGAGGCCUGACGGUACCAGAUGAAUAAGCACCGGCUAACUCCGUGCCAGCAGCCGCGGUAAUACGGAGGGUGCAAGCGUUAUCCGGAUUCACUGGGUUUAAAGGGUGCGUAGGUGGGUAUGUAAGUCAGUGGUGAAAUCCCCGAGCUUAACUUGGGAACUGCCAUUGAUACUAUAUAUCUUGAAUACCGUAGAGGUAAGCGGAAUAUGUCAUGUAGCGGUGAAAUGCUUAGAUAUGACAUGGAACACCAAGUGCGAAGGCAGCUUACUAUGCGGUGAUUGACACUGAGGCACGAAAGCGUGGGUAGCAAACA